CUCCCUGGUCGACCAGAGAAGAACCCAGGGGCGACACCCACCUUCCAAACCCUAGAUUUCACCUAAAGCUCACAAAUUGGAGCCCUUAAUCUGCUCUAAAUCAAGUUUCAAACACGGAUUAGUGAUCACCUCGUUGCGGGGAUCAAAAGGUGGGAGCUUGUGGAUGAAGCGGGUCAAACGGAUUAAGAACGGAAGGAAAAGCAUGGCAUGGAUGCGAGGUAAGUAAAGCUUACACCCAUUUGUAGUAAACGUAUGUAUUUUAUAGAUGAUAAAUGUGACAACCGAUUACAUUCGAAAUUGAAGUUCCGACACUAAGCGAUAUGAGUCGGAACGAAUAAAAAUGAUCAAAACCAUGGUUAAUGGUAAAAUGGACAAAAGGGUAAUUUAGUCGUGAAUCGACUAAGAAUUUAUAAGAUUUCUUUAAGGUUACCUUAUAGCGAAACUAGUAA